CAGAGAUUGCAAAAAAGAAGUGCUGCCAUCCUUGAAAAAGAGACUAGGACGGACAAUGACAGUCCCCUGCCCCGGUUCUCUCUGCAUGUCAAUGGCGAUUUGAACCCGGAUCUCCCACCACCGGAACGCCACGCCUCUGUGAAGCUAUAGUGAAGGUCUCGUAACAAUGAAGCAGGCAAGCACGUUGGAGUGGAGAAGAGGGAGAGCGAGAUCAGUGAUCAGGUGAGAGGUGGAGCAUGCAGGGAGGAGACUGGGCACAGUAUAGUAUGUAGAGAGGAAGAGGGACCGUAAAACAUGUUAGAACUGCA